rnacentral:piRNA from 1 species
UGACUACAAACUGAUCUACCGGCACUAUGC